rnacentral:rRNA from 1 species
UACGUAGGCAGCAAGCGUUGUUCGGAGUUACUGGGCGUAAAGGGUGUGUAGGCGGUUGUUUAAGUUUGGUGUGAAAUCUCCCGGCUCAACUGGGAGGGUGCGCCGAAUACUGAAUGACUUGGAGUGCGGGAGAGGAAAGUGGAAUUCCUGGUGUAGAGGUGAAAUUCGUAGAUAUCAGGAGGAACACCGGUGGCGAAGGCGGCUAUCUGGACGGUCACUGACGCUGAGAUGCGAAAGCGUGGGGAGCAAACAGG